AACGCACAUUGCGCCCGCCAGCAUUCUGGCGGGCAUGCCUGUCCGAGCGUCAUUUCCACCCUCGAGCGCCCCUGGCGCUCGGUGUUGGGGCCCCUACGGUCCGCCGUAGGCCCUGAAAUACAGUGGCGGACCCUUUGGCACUUCCGGGCGCAGUAGUUACAUCUCGCCUUCUGGAGGUGCCUUCUGGGCGUCGCGACCUGAGAGGCGGGCCUGCCUUCGGGCGGUCUCGCAGCACGGUUGACCUCGGAUCAGGUAGGAACACCCGCUGAACUUAA
rnacentral:misc_RNA from 1 species